GGAUUGUGGUUCAGGGGUAGAACACCUGCCUAGCAUGUGUGAGGCACUGGGAUCAAUCCUCAGCACCA
rnacentral:tRNA from 1 species